AGCCCAAACCAACAAGCUUGCUUGUUGGGGUUGUAGGACUGAACAUUAGAGUUACCAAAGUGCGACGUAGUCGCAACAGUUGGGAAGCUGUGCCAUAGAGGGUGAAAGCCCCGUAGACGAAACGUCACACUCUCUGUUCAGGAUCCUGAGUACGGCGGGACACGUGAAACCCCGUCGGAACCCGCGAGGACCAUCUCGCAAGGCUAAAUACUCCCUAGUGACCGAUAGUGAACCAGUACCGUGAGGGAAAGGUGAAAAGCACCCCGGAAGGGGAGUGAAAUAGUUCCUGAAACCAUGUGCCUACAAGCUGUCGGAGCCCGUUAAUGGGUGACGGCGUGCCUCUUGCAGAAUGAACCGGCGAGUUACGAUUGCAUGCAAGGUUAAGGUGGAAAAACCGGAGCCGUAGCGAAAGCGAGUCUUAAAUGGGCGUAAGAAGUAUGUAGUUGUAGACCCGAAACCAGGUGACCUACCCAUGUCCAGGUUGAAGGUGCGGUAAAGCGCACUGGAGGACCGAACCCGUGUCAGUUGAAAAUGGCUGGGAUGAGGUGUGGGUAGCGGUGAAAUUCCAAACGAACUUGGAGAUAGCUGGUUCUCUCCGAAAUCUCUUUAGGGGGAGCCUUGAGGUAAAGAAUCGUGGAGGUAGAGCUACUGUUUGGACAAGGGGCCCGUCAUGGGUUACCAACUUCAGAUAAACUCCGAAUGCCAUCGAUUUAUACUCAGGAGUCAGACGAUGAGUGAUAAGAUCCACCGUCGAAAGGGGAACAGCCCAGAUCACCAGUUAAGGUCCCUAAAUAUAUGCUAAGUGGAAAAGGAUGUGGAGUUGCAUAGACAACUAGGAUGUUGGCUUAGAAGCAGCCACCAUUUAAAGAGUGCGUAAUAGCUCACUAGUCGAGUGAUCCUGCGCCGAAAAUGUACCGGGGCUAAGCAUAUUACCGAAACUGUGGAUGUGCACUAUGUGCACGUGAUAGGAGAGCGUUCUAAGGGCGGCGAAGUCAGACCGUGAGGACUGGUGGAGCGCUUAGAAGUGAGAAUGCCGGUAUGAGUAGCGAAAGACAGGUGAGAAUCCUGUCCACCGAAUGACUAAGGUUUCCUGGGGAAGGCUCGUCCUCCCAGGGUAAGUCGGGACCUAAGCCGAGGCCGAGAGGCGUAGGCGAUGGAUAACAGGUUGAGAUUCCUGUACCAGUUAACUGCGUUUGACGAUGGAGGGACGCAGGAGGCUAAGCAAACCGUACGACUGGAAGAGUACGGCCAAGCAGUAAGUCAGGAUGUGAGUCAAAUGUUUACAUCCGUGUUGACAAGCUGUGAUGGGGAGCGAAAUUAAAGUAGCGAAGUUGCCGAUGUCACACUGCCGAGAAAAGCUUCUAAGGAGUAGUUAACUGCCCGUACCGCAAACCGACACAGGUAGUCGAGGAGAGAAUCCUAAGGUGAGCGAGA
rnacentral:rRNA from 2 species